UGAGACACGUGGGUCAAGAGCUGCGCGGCGCGAAUGUUUUUCUGUAGGGGACCAUCCAGAGGGGCGGUGACAACGAUGAUGCAAGAAAAGAGCGGAUUUCUCCAUCAAUGUCCCUGCAACAGACUGGCGACCUGUCCAGGGUGUCCCCUGCCUUUGCCCGAGUCAGCUGAGAUAGGCUCCAGCCCCCCGCGACCCCAGUGAGGAUAAAGCGGUGUAUAGAGAAUGGAUGAAUGGAUAUUCUAUUAUCAUGUGUAACAUUUAAAUAUAAUUAGUAGUCAAGCUUUA